rnacentral:rRNA from 1 species
GACAGAGGGUGCAAUCGUUGUUCGGAAUUACUGGGCGUAAAGCGUGUGUAGGCGGCCUUGCAAGUCGGAUGUGAAAGCCCCGGGCUCAACCCGGGAAGUGCACUCGAUACUGCAGGGCUUGAGUAUCGGAGAGGUUGGUGGAAUUCUCGGUGUAGAGGUGAAAUUCGUAGAUAUCGAGAGGAACACCGGCGGCGAAGGCGGCCAACUGGACGAUUACCGACGCUGAGACACGAAAGCGUGGGGAGCAAACAGG